UACGUAGGGUGCAAGCGUUAAUCGGAAUUACUGGGCGUAAAGCGUGCGCAGGCGGUUUUGUAAGUUUGUCGUGAAAUCCCCCGGGCUCAACCUGGGAAUUGCGAUGAAGACUGCAAGGCUAGAAUCUGGCAGAGGGGGGUAGAAUUCCACGUGUAGCAGUGAAAUGCGUAGAGAUGCGGAGGAACACCGAUGGCGAAGGCAGCCCCCUGGGCUGACACUGACGCUCAGGCACGAAAGCGUGGGGAGCAAACAGG
rnacentral:rRNA from 1 species